rnacentral:rRNA from 1 species
UACGUAGGGGGCAAGCGUUGUCCGGAUUUAUUGGGCGUAAAGGGCGCGCAGGCGGCGCUUCAAGUCCGUUGUGAAAUUUCAGGGCUUAACCCUGACGGGUCAACGGAAACUGAAGGGCUAGAGUGCAGCAGAGGAAAGCGGAAUUCCCGGUGUAGUGGUGAAAUGCGUAGAUAUCGGGAGGAACACCAGAGGCGAAAGCGGCUUUCUGGGCUGUAACUGACGCUGAGGCGCGAAGGCUAGGGGAGCAAACAGG